UGAAAGACAGAAUUCAAAGAAUUACAGAAGAAGGAACUCGUCAUCUAGGUCGCCCUCAGUAGAUGUUGAUUAUAAACAUAAAUCAAAAACUUUAGUGAGACAUAAAAGACGUUCCAGAUCUCUCUCUCCUGAAAAUAGUGCAAUUAAGAAACAUUAUCUUAAAGAAAAAAGUCCUUAUUAUGUUGAUGAACAACGGGAAAAGGAUAGAAUUGCUAGGAAAUAUGAUAGAAGAAAAACAAGAUCUAGGUCCAGGUCUCCUUCUCGAGGCAAUUAUCGCCGUAGUCGAGGUUCUGAAAGAAGGAGUAGGUCACUCGAUAAUAGAAGAGCAUCUCAUAAAAGGACUAGAUCAC